rnacentral:rRNA from 1 species
AAUAGAUACCCCGGUAGUCCACGCCGUAAACGUUGGAUACUAGGUGUGGCGGUUAUACCAAUGACUGCCGUGCCGAAGCUAACGCAUUAAGUGUCCCGCCUGGGGAGUACGGCCGCAAGGCUAAAACUCAAAGGAAUUGACGGGUCCCCGCACAAGCGGCGGAGCAUGCGGCUUAAUUCGAUGCAACCCGAAGAACCUUACCUGGGUUUGACAUCACGGGAAAAGCUGUAGAAAUACAGUGUCCAUUAGGGCCCGUGACAGGUGGUGCAUGGCUGUCGUCAGCUCGUGUCGUGAGAUGUUGGGUUAAGUCCCGCAACGAGCGCAACCCUUGUCCUAUGUUGCCAGCGGUUCGGCCGGGGACUCAUAGGAGACUGCCGGGGAUAACUCGGAGGAAGGUGAGGACGACGUCAAGUCAUCAUGCCCCUUAUAUCCAGGGCUGCACGCAUGCUACAAUGGCCAGUACAACGGGCAGCGACCCCGCGAGGGUGAGCGAAUCCUAAAAAGCCGGUCCUAGUUCGGAUUGAAGUCUGCAACUCGACUU